rnacentral:rRNA from 1 species
ACGUAGGGGGCAAGCGUUAUCCGGAAUUAUUGGGCGUAAAGAGUGCGUAGGCGGUUUUUUAAGCGUGAGGUGAAAGGCAAUAGCUUAACUAUUGUAAGCCUUGCGAACGGGAAGAAUUGAAUGCAGGAGAGGAAAGUGGAAUUCCUAGUAUGGCGGUGAAAUGCGUAGAUAUUGGGAGGAAGACCAGUAGCGAGGGGGACCUUCUGGACUGUAACUGACACUGAGACACGAAAGCGUGGAGAACAAACAG